AUGAGAUGAAGCACGUUGCACCAUUCAAGCGUGUGUAUUAAACAACACAACAACAACAACAGGGAAAAAAAAGAGGAAAAGAAAAACACCAAAAAAAUCAGCCCAAAUUUUUUUACGCAUUGGUUUGGUGUUAUGCUCUUUCUUCUAUUUUUUUUCUCUACCUCAAGAUCCCAUACACAACUUCACUACUCCUCUGUUACGCAAAGGCAUUUAUCAAAAUUUGUACAUACCUUUUUAGAUGGUGAGAAAGGCAAAAUAAUAAAAAAAGUC
rnacentral:ribozyme from 1 species